AUUGAACGCUGGCGGAAUGCUUUACACAUGCAAGUCGAGCGGCAGCACGGGGGUAACCCUGGUGGCGAGCGGCGAACGGGUGAGUAAUACAUCGGAACAUGCCCAGUCGUGGGGGAUAACACUUCGAAAGAAGUGCUAAUACCGCAUACGUCCUGAGGGAGAAAGCGGGGGAUCGCAAGACCUCGCGCGAUUGGAGUGGCCGAUGUCAGAUUAGCUAGUUGGUGGGGUAAAGGCCUACCAAGGCAACGAUCUGUAGCUGGUCUGAGAGGAUGAUCAGCCACACUGGGACUGAGACACGGCCCAGACUCCUACGGGAGGCAGCAGUGGGGAAUUUUGGACAAAGGGGGCAACCCUGAUCCAGCCAUUCCGCGUGAGUGAAGAAGGCCUUCGGGUUGUAAAGCUCUUUCGGCAGGAACGAAACGGUGAGCUCUAACAUAGCUUGCUAAUGACGGUACCUGAAGAAGAAGCACCGGCUAACUACGUG
rnacentral:rRNA from 1 species